CCUUAUUCAACCCUUGAGCACACUACAAGGACCCCUGAACCCUAGACACAAGCAGUCGCAUCUCCACCCACCUUCACUGAACCAGCAGCUCACCGGAAACCGCUGCCAGCCACUCCUUCAUAUUCUUCUUCAUCUCCAAGCCACAGCAACACCAGCGACUCUCAACCAAUCGACCAGCCAGCCGCCCGCUAGCCUAAUGCCAUCAACGACCAUCCAAGCUUCUUCUUCAACAUGAAAAGAAUCAACAGCAGCUGAACAAAAAGCCAUCAAAGACCAAAAUCUAAAAAAAAACCAUCUGUCUUCAUCUUCAACCUUGGACAGCCAUUUUCUUUGGUAACAUAUGUAAGAUUAGUGAACAAAAAAAGAUAAACUUAUUGUAAUAUUACAUCAUUGCAGCAUAUCCCGAAGAAAAUAGAAGUAUUGGCUGCGUUAGUUAACUAGUCAUUAUUUUAGUUCUAUCCUAAGUCCGAUUUCAGAUUUUAGCUUCUUCGUCUGAUUUCUGAUCUUGAAACCAUGGAAUCUGACUAAAUUUGAUGGAAAUCGUUUUAGUUUCGAGCUUCCGGUGCCGAUUCGAGUUUUCGUCUGCGGUUUCGGCAUUUGCAUUGUAAAAUUGCCAUACAAUGAAACUUCAGGUUCAUUGAGGUCGAUUUCUCAUUUCCCUUCUACUUCUUGUUUGCUUAACAUCAUGCUCUUAUUAUUUGGUUAAUCUAUUAUUAUUCUGUCUUUGAACGACAUUUUGUUGUUAUUGCUGUUUAGUUUAAUAUGUUUGGAUGAAUUUUGAUAGUUAGAGUGAGUUUUUUCCAUAUUUAGUUGUUACAGUUACUAUUCAGAUGACAAAAUGAUUAAUUAUACAUAUAUAAGUAGAUUGAUUGGAGUUCUGUAUUGAAUAUGGGGUUCUGGACAUAUAGAAUGGGAAACUAAAUUCAUCACGUUAAUAGUUUUAUCUUGUUUGCUUGAACUCGCUAGUAGCAUGCUUAGGCCAACCACACUGGGUAGUCAAGCCUUAGGAUUUUGUUAGUUUCGAGGCGAGGGGUCGUUCCCUUAGUUAAAUUUAUCCGGGGAAUGCCCCGAGGGAUUUGUAUAUAUUUUUUUGCAGGGGCAUGCCCCGAAGUGAAUGUAAUUGGAGGCCGUGGCGAACAUCGCAGAAGAAAUAGCAUAGGAUAAUUUAGAACUUUAAUUUUUCUCCUUUUAAUUUUCUUUCAUUUAGGUGGGGACGACUUCGAGCCUCUUUUGAUUGUUUAUUUUCAUUUUGUGUGUUACUACCUCAAUUUGAAUGUUUCAAAAGCCAACUUGAUCGAGUACGCCACCGUACUAGUUACGGGACUUGGGAAGUGCCUAACACCUUCUCCCCGAGUCAAAUGAACUCUCUUACUCGAAUCUUUGGUGCAGAUUUAGUUUUGGAGUUUCAAGUGUUUUGAAAGGAAAAUAUCAUUUUUAGAAAAAACGGUGACCUGGCACACCGAAAUCAAUGUUAGGUGGCGACUCUGAGUUAAUCCUUUUGAACACAAAUUUUUGCCACUUUUUAAUUAAAACCCCCUUUUGAGCUUUACAAAUCCUUUUACUAUUUAUAAGAGGGUUAGUGAAGUUGGUGAAAAAGGGGUGUGAGAUCUUUGGCGACUCUGCUGGGGACUUGCAGGUUCGAGCUAGUACUUGAUCUUGUUGGCUUUUUAGGUUGUUCGGUUGAGGUUUUUAUGUGUUUUAUUUGCUUUAUUUGAUUUAUUUUUGUUUAUGUCGCUUUAUUUGCUAGUUGGUUUAUGUAUUUACAGUUUUUCCUUUAUGUGUUACUGCUUUAUAACUGUCAUCAUAUGCAUUACUUGGUCAAUUCUUUCUGCGACAAGUUUCGGAGUGCGCGUCGCGUACACGAACUCUUCGUUGAGUCACCCUUAUUUUAGGAGGGGAGGCCGUCGGACGUAUGGAGGGGUGGAAAGCUUGAGCAGCCACAAUCGACCAUACGCUCCCCGAAUUGCUUUGUUAGUGAACCACAAACUUAGGUCAGUCUUUAGGUCAUUUUUAUUUGCAUCAUGUCAUUUAGACCUAGUAGGGCUCGGUUUCAAGUACCGUGUCUUUUUGUAGGAAGCCUAUCCAAAUAUUGUCAAAAUGGGCCCGUGGCACAAAAAGACAUUCAAUCAUCCUUAUGUGAUACAUGUUGCAUCUUUGAAGGUGAAAAGGUCAUUUGGCGGACCGAUAUUUGGGAAAGAAGGGUGAAAAUGGAAGCAAGUAGGGCCUAGUUAUAUUUUUCUCUCACAACUUUUUCGAGAAAAAAAAACAAAAAAAAUUGAAAAAGAAAAUCCAAAAUUUUUACAUUUUCCAAAAAUUCAAAAAAAAGGAGAAAAAGAAAAUCCAAAAAGAUUUUAUAUUUUUCAUCAUUUUUUAAAAAAAAGACAAAAAUAUAGUUUUUCCAAAUUAGUUGCAUUUUUCAAAGCUUUCUUCCAUGUCCAAUCCUAUGUAUACAACCCACAUAGGGUCCGGUCUUCCUAGUAAGUCUUAGGUUCUUGGCUUUGCGGGGUCUUAGCCAAAUCUUGCAUGUCUAGCCACUUUUGGCCAUAUCGACCAUUAUUGCAAAAUGGGGUCAUUUUUGCAAAAGUGGUUCAAUUACCCAUGUCUUAGGAUCUUGAGUCCACAACUAGGUGUCAUAUUACUUUAAGGUCCGUCCUUUUUGAGUUUGCAUCUUUGGCCACUUCUGGCCAUAUCGGUCGUUUUGCAAAAUGGGUCAUUUCUGCAAAUUGAUUUUGGGCCAUGAUUAUUGGGAGUUCGAAUCCAUAUAGGCCUUAGUGAGGUAUGUCCAUGUAUUUGAGGUCAUCUUUGUUGAGUUUGCGCUAAUAGUCACAUUUUGGCUACGUAGGUCAUUUUGCAAAAAUAGCCUUAAUCAUGCCUUGCAUGUGUCUAAUAGAAGGUGUCGUGGCGUCACAUGUGUCUUGAGUCACUAACUCUAUUUGAUCUUAUUUUUUCCAUUCAGGUAUGUAUCAAUUUGCUAGAGAUUGAGCAUGAUAAAUACCACAGGACCAUUCUAGUCAAGACCAUUGUAUACACGAGCUGUUUGAGGAAACUUUUUAUUUUUCAGUUUAUCUUAUAUUAUCUUUUAAUUUUUAGUCUUGUACAGUAGUAUCGAGCCUGUCAAUCUAGUUAAGAUUGUUGAGUCUUUUGUUAUAGUACUUCCUGUUUUGUGUUUGAAAAACCAAAAAAAAAGUUAUAAAUGGAAAAUUCAAAAGAUUUGUUUUAGUUUAUUUUGUCCAUUAUUUUUCAGAACUACACUUGAUCUGAUUCAUGAGAGACAUGAUAUGUAGGCAAUCUACAUAGGUUUCGAUCGAAUUAUUUUUUUUAAAAAAAACUCAAAUAAAAAAAAAAGAAAAAAAGAAUGAAUUUGCGGGACAUGAGAAAUGAGAGGAAAGAAAAGAGUGAUAAUCAGAAAGAAAAGAGGAGAAAGAAAUGAAAAACCAAGCGGUGUUAGAAAGGAAGAUGAAGAAGGAAAUGGGGCAAAAGGAGUGAAAUUGGGAUGAUUCCAAAUAACCUUGUGACCCUCGAAGUUAUUCUAGAACCAUUAAUUGUUGCUAGGGGCAUUGCACGCAAUGUGAUAUUUCUAUCUGAUAAAUGCUCUAACGCUAACAUGUUGGCUUUAUUUUGCUCCUUUUUGUUACUUUCAUUGUUACUAUAACAGAGGGUGGUUAGUUUGUGGCGCUUUGGUGAUUUGUCCAUACAAUACAAGGUCAAAAAGCAAGGAAGCUAUGGCUAGCAAAGACUUGGACAUAGGAGUUGUCGACCCCUCGAGGGAGAUUGUGGAGUCGGAGUCUGAAUUGAAAGAGGAGGUCCAAAGAUUGAAACAAUAGAUGGCAUAAAUGUAUCAAUUUUGGAUCAAGGGGCAUCCUCCACCUUCAUUCCCCACUAACUACACUGAAAACCCUGCAACUAUCCCACCACUAUCACAAGCCCAAGUUCCCACUGCUGCUGAUAUCUCCCCAUAACCUUUUCACACUCCACCCCUCAAAAGCACAUCAUAUCCCGCUCCUUUGACCACUCGUAUUUUUGUAGCUCAUCCACCAGCUACUCUUCCUCGAUCCUCUAAUGAGACUGUGUUCAAAGUCCCCGAUGCUUAAAGAANNNNNNNNNNNNNNNNNNNNNNNNNNNNNNNNNNNNNNNNNNNNNNNNNNNNNNNNNNNNNNNNAAAUGCUUUCAGCCUCAAUACCGACCCCAUGAAUAUCCUCGUACUCCAAAUAAUCCUCCCCAAUGCUACUUUCCUCCACAAAAUCCCUAAAGGCAUACCUCACCUCCCCAGUACUUUAUCCACAAUGCAUCGACAUAUGCUCUACACCCACAAAACCCGCAACAGCUUGCACCGCCUCCACAAAUGUCUUACCUACCUCUACAAGCAUAUCAACCCCCUACCCGAAAGAGGUUCCAACCAAGACCGGAGUACAAAAUGAUAAGGCAGCAGCAAAGAGAAAAGUCUUUCUCUUCUAUUGGAGAAUCAUAUGCCAUUUUGUUCCAAUGGUUAAGGCAAUUGGACAUAUUGAAACCGAUUCAGAUAAAAAUGUCGAAACACAUUCCAAAGAGUUUUGAUUUUUCUCAAAGGUGCGCAUACUGCUCUAAUGCCCUGGGGCACGACAUAAAAAAGUGUUGGCAUCUGAAAAGAGCAAUCCAGAAGCUUAUUGAUGCAGGUGACAUUACCGUGCAAAAUCCAAAUGCAACAGAUACUAGCCAAAGUCCAUUACCUGUGCAUAAUGAGACACAUGUGGUGGGCAUGAUUUGUGUGGAAAAGGAAUAUGAGAACUCUUUUGAAUCCCUUGUGAGGCCACCUACUGCAAAGUUUUCAGCGUUAUCAGUCUCGGUUCCAGAGGUUGAUCUUAAGAACGAAUUGGCAAAAGGGACCCAAAAGCUAUUUGUUAAGGUCAACGUGAUGGAGAUUUGUGGAGGUUCUCAUAAUAUUGAUGUGGAACUCAGUGGCUAAGAUGUCGAGCUUGGUGAUUGGAAAGACACUCCUUUCUUGGCUAGCCAGGGAGGAGUUUUGGUGGUUUAUUUUGUUGUCAUUUCUACUGUCCGGGUUAUUUCAGGGUUGUAAUCCAGAUAUUGUCUUGUGGCUCAAACUUUUCUUCUUCUUUUUGCCUAGUUCAUUUUAUUGUAGUAACUCAUCUAGUUUUAUCUAGGAUUGUUCCAGGGUUGCAACUCAUGUCUAUUUUGCUUGUUUUGUUCAAACCUUUUUCACCAUCUGUCUAAUGCAAUCUCUUGUUUUCUGUUAGUUCUAGUCCGUCUUUGUUUAGGUUACUUUUCCUUUUAUAGUCCUUUUCAGCCUAACUCUAGUGACAUGACAUGCACGCAUAAUUCUCAGCCAGGUCUUGAAAGUUAGUUUAAUCAUGAAGCAAUAACACAGUUUUGAACAUGAUAAAAAGAGGCAUUUGAGGAAACAAGUAAAGAUUCAUUCAUUCUGAGAUAACCUGAAUCUUGAAUUGAGUGAAACUGAGGCAGUUAGUCUAGAAAUCAAGAGGUUGAUGAGAGCAUACAACAAGGGAAUGUCUCUCAAGCAGUUUGAGGUAGAUCAAUCAGUGCUGAAAUGCAUUCUUCCACAUCAAGAUAAGUUUGAAUCAAGUCUGCUUCGAACUGGCAAGGAUCAUUCAUUGGUACAGAGGUAUUGCCCAUUGGCACUUUUGUUUGGAUUUCUUUUCUUAUCUUCAACUGCAUGUUUGUACUUGGCAUUUUUAAAGAUUGGUAUGACGAAGGCAUUUUAUUCUGCUACCCAAACACUUUUAUCCUUUGCUACCCAUUUUGGGCCAAAUUUUUUGUUUCAUGCCCCUCUUUUGGAAUCAGAAAUAGAGUCAGGAACUAGAAAUAAAAAGAAAAAGAGAAAGAGAAGAAAAAAAGAAGGAAAAGAGAAAAAAAAAA
rnacentral:lncRNA from 1 species